AUGAACGCUAGCGGCAGGCCUAACACAUGCAAGUCGAGGGAGAAGCCCUUUCGGGGGCAGAAACCGGCGCACGGGUGCGUAACGCGUAUGCAACCUACCUUUCACAGGGGGAUAGCCCGAAGAAAUUUGGAUUAAUACCCCAUAAUAUUAUUGGAUGGCAUCAUUUGAUAAUUAAAACUGCGGUGGUGAAAGAUGGGCAUGCGUCCUAUUAGCUAGUUGGAGUGGUAACGGCACCCCAAGGCUACGAUAGGUAGGGGUCCUGAGAGGGAGAUCCCCCACACUGGUACUGAGACAGGGACCAGACUCCUACGGGAGGCAGCAGUGAGGAAUAUUGGUCAAUGGUCGGAAGACUGAACCAGCCAUGCCGCGUGCAGGAAGAAUGCCUUAUGGGUUGUAAACUGCUUUUAUAUGGGAAGAAUAAGGUGUACGUGUACAUUGAUGACGGUACCAUAUGAAUAAGCAUCGGCUAACUCCGUG
rnacentral:rRNA from 1 species